rnacentral:rRNA from 1 species
UAGGUUAAUGAGGCGAACCGGGGGAACUGAAACAUCUAAGUACCCCGAGGAAAAGAAAUCAACCGAGAUUCCCCCAGUAGCGGCGAGCGAACGGGGAGCAGCCCAGAGCCUGAAUCAGUGUGUGUGUUAGUGGAAGCGUCUGGAAAGGCGCGCGAUACAGGGUGACAGCCCCGUACACAAAAAUGCACAUGCUGUGAGCUCGAUGAGUAGGGCGGGACACGUGGUAUCCUGUCUGAAUAUGGGGGGACCAUCCUCCAAGGCUAAAUACUCCUGACUGACCGAUAGUGAACCAGUACCGUGAGGGAAAGGCGAAAAGAACCCCGGCGAGGGGAGUGAAAAAGAACCUGAAACCGUGUACGUACAAGCAGUGGGAGCACGCUUAGGCGUGUGACUGCGUACCUUUUGUAUAAUGGGUCAGCGACUUAUAUUCUGUAGCAAGGUUAACCGAAUAGGGGAGCCGAAGGGAAACCGAGUCUUAACUGGGCGUUAAGUUGCAGGGUAUAGACCCGAAACCCGGUGAUCUAGCCAUGGGCAGGUUGAAGGUUGGGUAACACUAACUGGAGGACCGAACCGACUAAUGUUGAAAAAUUAGCGGAUGACUUGUGGCUGGGGGUGAAAGGCCAAUCAAACCGGGAGAUAGCUGGUUCUCCCCGAAAGCUAUUUAGGUAGCGCCUCGUGAAUUCAUCUCCGGGGGUAGAGCACUGUUUCGGCAAGGGGGUCAUCCCGACUUACCAACCCGAUGCAAACUGCGAAUACCGGAGAAUGUUAUCACGGGAGACACACGGCGGGUGCUAACGUCCGUCGUGAAGAGGGAAACAACCCAGACCGCCAGCUAAGGUCCCAAAGUCAUGGUUAAGUGGGAAACGAUGUGGGAAGGCCCAGACAGCCAGGAUGUUGGCUUAGAAGCAGCCAUCAUUUAAAGAAAGCGUAAUAGCUCACUGGUCGAGUCGGCCUGCGCGGAAGAUGUAACGGGGCUAAACCAUG